AAUAAGUUAAUUAAGAGCGUAAGGUGGAUGCCUUGGCUCUCAGAGGCGAUGAAGGACGUGAUAAGCUGCGAUAAGCUACGGGGAUUGGCACACACAAUUUGAUCCGUAGAUUUCCGAAUGGGGAAACCCACUAUAUUGAAGAUAUAGUAUCCGUUAAGGAAGCAAACCCAGGGAACUGAAACAUCUAAGUACCUGGAGGAAUAGAAAACAAAAGUGAUUCCGCUAGUAGUGGCGAGCGAACGCGGAACAGCCCAAACCAAAAUUGUUUCGGCAAUUUUGGGGUUGUAGGACCACGAUAUUGAAUGUUUAAUGAAUUAGAAUUCUUUGG
rnacentral:rRNA from 1 species